CCUACGGGAGGCAGCAGUGAGGAAUAUUGGUCAAUGGGCGGAAGCCUGAACCAGCCAAGCCGCGUGAAGGAAGAAGGUGCCACGGAUUGUAAACCUCUUUUGUCGAGGGACAAAAGCAGGCUCGAGAGCCCGAACGAGGGUACAUGAAGAAAAAGCAUCGGCUAACUCCGUGCCAGCAGCCGCGGUAAUACGGAGGAUGCGAGCGUUAUCCGGAGUUAUUGGGUUUAAAGGGUGAGUAGGCGGACUGUUGAGUCAGCGGUAAAAGCCCGGGGCUCAACCCCGGCGAGCCGUUGAAAAUGGCUGUCUGGAGGUGUAGAGAGGUAUGCGGAAUGCGCGGUGUAGCGGUGAAAUGCUUAGAUAUUGCGCAGAACUCCGAUUGCGAAGGCAGCAUACCGGCGCCUAACUGACGCUGAGGCACGAAAGCGUGGGUAUCGAACAGGAUUAGAUACCCCGGUAGUC
rnacentral:rRNA from 1 species